rnacentral:rRNA from 1 species
UACAGAGGUCCCGAGCGUUGUUCGGAUUCACUGGGCGUAAAGGGUGCGUAGGCGGCUUUGUAAGUCAGUGGUGAAAUAUGGCAGCUUAACUGUCAAGGUGCCAUUGAUACUGCGGAGCUUGAGUACAGAUGAGGUAGGCGGAAUUGACGGUGUAGCGGUGAAAUGCUUAGAUAUGUCACAGAACACCGAUUGCGAAGGCAGCUCACUAAAGUGUAACUGACGCUGAGGCACGAAAGCGUGGGGAUCAAACAGG